CACGUAGGGCGCAAGCGUUGUCCGGAAUUAUUGGGCGUAAAGAGCUCGUAGGCGGACUGUCACGUCCGCUGUGAAAAGCUAGGGCUUAACCCUGGCCUUGCAGUGGAUACGGGCAGACUAGAGGUAGGUAGGGGAGAAUGGAAUUCCCGGUGUAGCGGUGAAAUGCGCAGAUAUCAGGAAGAACACCCGUGGCUAAGGCGGCUCUCUAGUACGGUACUGACGCUGAGACGCGAAAGCGUGGGGAGCGAACAGG
rnacentral:rRNA from 1 species